CAUUUGGUCAGUGGCAAGUAAUCAGCUGUCAUACCAUUUAUUUUUUGGGAGUUUCAUAUUUGACGCUUUUACGUAAUUUAUAUCAAGCAAAAAAAAAAAAAAGAAAAAGAUGGGUAAUGCAUACCAUCGUGCUGUACACCCUGAUACCUUCCCGGGUCCUGAUUUUGAGCCGACGUUUGAUCCGCUACUUGGCGCGCCUAAUCGAAAAGUAAGAGUUUCAAAUGUUACCAAAGAGGAAAUGGUGUCGGCAAAAUUACCCCUCGAAGAUCGUGAUUAUUGUGCUGAUGUGCUACUUAAAUACAGAGCCUGUAGGACGAGGGUCUUCCCAUUUCUAUACAAAUGCCAUCAUGAAAGACACGAGUACUUGACUUGCGAAUAUGAAGAUUAUGUGUUGCGUAUGAAGGAGUUUGAACGUGAAAGGAGACUAUUGGAACGCCAAAAACGCAUCGAUGCUGCUGCUUAAUGAUAAUUUAGAAAAAAGAGAGGUAUAUCGACGAUCUGCUCUUCAAAUUGCUGUUUCAGGAUCAAUCUUAUUGCUGGUAAAAAUUUUAUCGUCGACAUAAUGUAACGUAAACUAUUUUUGACGACUAGUUCAAUGAUAAAUUAUUUUAGCUGUGCUUAACAUUUCUAUAAAUGUAUUACAUCGAGCUUGGAAUUAAGAAGAAAAAGAAAAAAAUGAGACAAACGUUAUUAUCAGCUACACUGAACAUAUCAAAUAAAAGCGACUGUUAAUUUAUUGCUAAAAUUGUGCACUUCAUAAAAGAAGAAGAAGAAAUUAAGGCGCAAAAUGCAAGACAAGGAAGCCAAUGUCAGGGAGAUGAAGUACGUAAGAGGAUACAGUGUCUAUGAAAAUUGGCAAGGUUUGGAUUUAACGGCUGCCGGGUAACUUAGAUCAUACGCUCUUCCGUAUUGAAAGCUCUAUCGCACUGGAGAUUUGAACUCGCAACCAUUGAUUUAUUCGCCACGAACCUUUGGCUACUCGGCUGAUCAUGCGAAUGAAUUAGUUCAUAUAUCCAAGAUCCAAAUUCAUAGCAGGCAUACGAUGUUUUUUUUUUUUUUUUGUAAUUAGAAUAUUAUUAUGCAAAGUGAUAUAAAAUGUAUGACUUUUUAAGAUAUUCGUUAAAAUUUCCAAAUCAAUGUAUUAUUAUCAAUCGAACAGCUCGAAUCUGGAGUGCAAUAGACAGCAUAGCUUUCAAUAAAGACGAUAGUCAUAGGUGCUAGUGCGCUUAAUACUUUA